AUGCUCCAUUCAGCAGCACAUACACUAAAUUUGAAACAAUACAGAGAUCAGCAUGGGCCUCAUCCAGGGAUGACAUGAAAAGCUGUGAAGUGCUCCGUGAUUUU
ensembl:snRNA U6 U6 spliceosomal RNA